GAUAAACGCUGGCGGCGUGCCUAAUACAUGCAAGUCGAGCGAACGGACGAGAAGCUUGCUUCUCUGAUGUUAGCGGCGGACGGGUGAGUAACACGUGGAUAACCUACCUAUAAGACUGGGAUAACUUCGGGAAACCGGAGCUAAUACCGGAUAAUAUUUUGAACCGCAUGGUUCAAAAGUGAAAGACGGUCUUGCUGUCACUUAUAGAUGGAUCCGCGCUGCAUUAGCUAGUUGGUAAGGUAACGGCUUACCAAGGCAACGAUGCAUAGCCGACCUGAGAGGGUGAUCGGCCACACUGGAACUGAGACACGGUCCAGACUCCUACGGGAGGCAGCAGUAGGGAAUCUUCCGCAAUGGGCGAAAGCCUGACGGAGCAACGCCGCGUGAGUGAUGAAGGUCUUCGGAUCGUAAAACUCUGUUAUUAGGGAAGAACAUAUGUGUAAGUAACUGUGCACAUCUUGACGGUACCUAAUCAGAAAGCCACGGCUAACUACGUGCCAGCAGCCGCGGUAAUACGUAGGUGGCAAGCGUUAUCCGGAAUUAUUGGGCGCAAAGCGCGCGUAGGCGGUUUUUUAAGUCUGAUGUGAAAGCCCACGGCUCAACCGUGGAGGGUCAUUGGAAACUGGAAAACUUGAGUGCAGAAGAGGAAAGUGGGAUUCCAUGUGUAGCGGUGAAAUGCGCAGAGAUAUGGAGGAACACCAGUGGCGAAGGCGACUUUCUGGUCUGUAACUGACGCUGAUGUGCGAAAGCGUGGGGAUCAAACAGGAUUAGAUACCCUGGUAGUCCACGCCGUAAACGAUGAGUGCUAAGUGUUAGGGGGUUUCCGCCCCUUAGUGCUGCAGCUAACGCAUUAAGCACUCCGCCUGGGGAGUACGACCGCAAGGUUGAAACUCAAAGGAAUUGACGGGGACCCGCACAAGCGGUGGAGCAUGUGGUUUAAUUCGAAGCAACGCGAAGAACCUUACCAAAUCUUGACAUCCUUUGACAACUCUAGAGAUAGAGCCUUCCCCUUCGGGGGACAAAGUGACAGGUGGUGCAUGGUUGUCGUCAGCUCGUGUCGUGAGAUGUUGGGUUAAGUCCCGCAACGAGCGCAACCCUUAAGCUUAGUUGCCAUCAUUAAGUUGGGCACUCUAAGUUGACUGCCGGUGACAAACCGGAGGAAGGUGGGGAUGACGUCAAAUCAUCAUGCCCCUUAUGAUUUGGGCUACACACGUGCUACAAUGGACAAUACAAAGGGCAGCGAAACCGCGAGGUCAAGCAAAUCCCAUAAAGUUGUUCUCAGUUCGGAUUGUAGUCUGCAACUCGACUACAUGAAGCUGGAAUCGCUAGUAAUCGUAGAUCAGCAUGCUACGGUGAAUACGUUCCCGGGUCU
rnacentral:rRNA from 1 species